UUGAUGAAAAUGGACUGAGAUU
rnacentral:miRNA from 1 species